rnacentral:tRNA from 1 species
GGGAAUGUGGCUUCGUGGUAGAGCGCUUGCCUAGCAUGCAGGAAGCCCUGGGUUCAAUUCCUCAGUACCA